ensembl:miRNA
AGCCACUGACUAACGCACAUUGCGCUGCUGCUAAAAUGCCACUGUGCGUGUGACAGCGGCUAA